rnacentral:tRNA from 1 species
GGAGCGGUAGUUCAGUUGGUUAGAUACCGGCCUGUCACGCCGGGGGCUCGGGUUCAAGUCCCGUCCGCUCCGCCA